rnacentral:rRNA from 1 species
GACGAACGCUGGCGGCGUGCUUAACACAUGCAAGUCGAGCGGUAAGGCCCUUUCGGGGGUACACGAGCGGCGAACGGGUGAGUAACACGUGGGUGACCUGCCCUCAGCUCUGGGAUAAGCCUGGGAAACCGGGUCUAAUACUGGAUAUGACUCCAUGACGCAUGUUGUGGGGUGGAAAGCCUUGUGCGGCUGAGGAUGGGCCCGCGGCCUAUCAGCUUGUUGGUGGGGUGANGGCCUACCAAGGCGACGACGGGUAGCCGGCCUGAGAGGGCGACCGGCCACACUGGGACUGAGACACGGCCCAGACUCCUACGGGAGGGCAGCAGUGGGGAAUCUUGCGCAAUGGGCGAAAGCCUGACGCAGCGACGCCGCGUGAGGGAUGACGGCCUGG